rnacentral:rRNA from 1 species
AGAGCGGCGUACGGGUGCGGAACACGUGUGCACUGCCUUUAUCUGGGGGAUAGCCUUUCGAAAGGAAGAUUAAUACCCCAUAAUAUGUUGAAUGGCAUCAUUCGACAUUGAAAAUUCCGGUGGAUAGAGAUGGGCACGCGCAAGAUUAGAUAGUUGGUGAGGUAACGGCUCACCAAGCCUACGAUCUUUAGGGGGGCCUGAGAGGGUGAUCCCCCACACUGGUACUGAGACACGGACCAGACUCCUACGGGAGGCAGCAGUGAGGAAUAUUGGACAAUGGAUGAGAGCCUGAUCCAGCCAUCCCGCGUGAAGGACGACUGCCCUAUGGGUUGUAAACUUCUUUUGUAUAGGGAUAAACCUACCCUCGUGAGGGUAGCUGAAGGUACUAUACGAAUAAGCACCGGCUAACUCCGUGCCAGCAGCCGCGGUAAUACGGAGGGUGCAAGCGUUAUCCGGAUUUAUGGGUUUAAAGGGUCGUAGGCGGAUCUGUAAAGUCAGUGGUGAAAUCUNCACAAGGUUUACUGUGAAACUUGGCCAUUGAUACUGCAGGGUCUUGGAGUGUUGUUGAAGUUACCUGGAAUAAGUUAGUGGUACGGGUGA